CCUACGGGAGGCUGCAGUGAGGAAUAUUGGUCAAUGGGCGCGAGCCUGAACCAGCCAAGUCGCGUGAGGGAAGACGGUCCUAUGGAUUGUAAACCUCUUUUGUCGGGGAGCAAAAGACGCCACGCGUGGCGUUCCGAGAGUACCCGAAGAAAAAGCAUCGGCAAACUCCGUGCAAGCAGCCGCGGUAAUACGGAGGAUGCGAGCGUUAUCCGGAUUUAUGGGGUUAAAAGGGUGCGCAGGCGGAAGAUCAAGUCAGCGGGAAAAUUGCGGGGCUCAACCUCGUCGAGCCGUUGAAACUGGUUUUCUUGAGUGAGCGAGAAGUAUGCGGAAUGCGUGGUGUAGCGGUGAAAUGCAUAGAUAUCACGAAGAACUCCGAUUGCGAAGGCAGAAUACCGGCGCUCAACUGACGCUCAGGCACGAAAGUGUGGGUAUCGAACAGGAUUAGAUACCCCUGUAGUC
rnacentral:rRNA from 1 species